UACGAAGGGGGCUAGCGUUGCUCGGAAUUACUGGGCGUAAAGGGCGCGUAGGCGGAUGAUUAAGUCGAGGGUGAAAGCCCGGGGCUCAACCUCGGAACUGCCUUUGAUACUGGUCAUCUUGAGUACGGGAGAGGUGUGUGGAACUCCGAGUGUAGAGGUGAAAUUCGUAGAUAUUCGGAAGUACACCAGUGGCGAAGGCGACACACUGGCCCGUUACUGACGCUGAGGCGCGAAAGCGUGGGGAG
rnacentral:rRNA from 1 species